GGGAAAUGAACAAGUUUUGAAAGGAGAAUAAUUUUUAUUUCAUAUCUAGCUUUUUACAGAUGGCAGAUUACAUUUUUUUUUAAUUUUUAGAAAAGGAAGUAACCUAAAGCCUUACAACAUUGACUCAUACUUGCAUAGCAGAACAUUGUGCAAGCUUGUCAAGCUUCAUUCUGCUAAUUCAGAACGAAACACCCAACUAUUUACCCAAAGAAAAAUCCAUCAUGCAGAUGGGAAAGUCUAUGGGAGGAGAACAAGAACAGAAAUUCAGUUUGGACAUGUGAAGUUUCUGAUGGACAUUGGCAUACAAACAGAGAUGUCAAGAAAGGCAGCUAGGUAUAUAAGGAAAUAAGAGAAAGGAUAGGGAAGAAGAUACAUGUUUUAGGGUCUUCAACAUAUAAAUGGGGUUUGAAAUUGUUUGAUUGUGUGAGAUUACAAAGGAAUAGGAGAAAUGAAUUCAAAAGACUAUUCCUUAUGAGAGGUGAAGCCCGCUGGACUUCCUGGGUGGAGUGGGGACUUGGAGAACUUUUCAGUCUAGCUAAAGGUUUGUAAACACACCAGUCAGCACUCUGUAAAAACGAACCAAUUAGCACUCUGUAAAAUGGACCAAUCAGCCCUCUGUAAAAUGGACAAAUCGUUGGACGUUGGUCGGGGGUGCUCCAAGUAAGGGAAUAAAAGCUGGCUGCCGGAGCCAGCAGUGGCAACCUGCUCGGGUCCCCUUCCACACUGUGGAAGGUUUGUUCUUUCACUCUUCAUAAUAAAUUUUGCUGCUGCUCACUCUUGGGGUCUUCACUACCUUUAUGAGCUGUAACACUCACCGCGAAGGUCUGCAGCUUCACUCCUGAAGCCAGUGAGACCACGAACCCACCAGGAGGAACAAACAACUCCGGACGCACCACCUUUAAAGGCUGUAACACUCACCGCGAAGGUCUGCAGCUUCACUCCUGAAGUCAGCGAGACCAUGAACCCACCGGCAGGAAGAAACUCCAGACACAUCUGAACAUCUGAAGGAACAAACUCCAGACACACCAUCUUUAAGAACUCUAACACUCACCGCAAGGGUCCGCGGCUUCAUUCUUGAAGUCAGUGAGACCAAGAACCCACUGGAAGGAACCAAAUCUGGACACACUUAUGUUGUACUCUCAUCUUAAGAUACCUAGAUGUUUAAAACAAAGUAAAAAUAAUAUCAAUAAAUAAAGAAGAGAAAAAUUAGCAGCCAGUGAGGUAAGAAACAAAGGAGAGAGAGAGAGACAGAGGAGAGAGAGCGAUUAAGAGAGAGAGAGAGAGGCUGUGCCCUGGAAGCCAAGAAAUAAAAAGAAGUACAUUAAAAGAAUAGAUGAUCAAACAGAUCAAGUAGGAGAAAGACUGAGAACGUAUCAUUGAAAUUAAAAAAAAACAUGUAAAUUAAAAAAAUUUUUUAAUAAUUUUAUUGAUGGUCUUGAUAAAUAGGUAUAAACAAAUGUGUUGUUAGAGGAUGGGAAGAGAAUAAUUAAGCAGUUGAACUUUGCUUCAUUUGUCUACCUCUACCUGGGUGAUGUUUCUAGGGAAGAAUAAACUCAGAUAAGUUUAGGUUACUCCUCUUGUAAAACGUUAACAAUAACCUACUAGACAACAAACUAAUGAUAUUAGAGGAGAGUUCUUAUCCAUUAGAUUAUUUUAGUAGUUAUUGGUUUAGUGACUAUGGUAAACAAACCUAGAAUCUGUAGGCUUAUGAGGCCUGGGUUUUUGGAAAAUAUCACAUAAACUAUGUAACUACGUGAGUAUAGAAUGGAGCUGUUUCAUUAUCUGAAUCUUCCUUGCUGUGUGAGGUACUGUUUAUCUCAUUUAGAGAUCACUCCUCUUGACCAGAGCUAGAAAGUACAUCUCAGGCUGGAAUAAAGGACAGGGAGUCACCAUACUAUGCCUGUGCCCGUUAUUUGCUUAUAUCCUUGAAAUUAUUUAUAAAGCUUGACACAGU
rnacentral:lncRNA from 1 species